rnacentral:lncRNA from 1 species
UCGGGACUGAAGUCAACUACAUAAUAUAGCCCCUCUCUCUUAGUACCACAACCAAGAAUCUCCUUAGUAUGAGUCUCCUGAAGCAAACAAAAACUUGGGUAAAUGAGUACACAACAAUUCAAUUGUUCACUAAGCUGACUAACUGACAACAAUUUAUUGGAUAAAGAUGAAACAAGUAAAGUAAUAGACAGUGAGAGAGAAGAUGAGAGUGCAAC